UCUCCGUAGGUGAACCUGCGGAGGGAUCAUUACUGAGUGAGGGCUUCGGUCCGACCUCCAACCCUUUGUGAACCAAACUUGUUGCUUCGGGGGCGACCCUGCCGCUUCGGCGGUGGCGCUCCCGGUGGCCAAUUAUUAAACUCUGCAUCUUUGCGUCGGAGUAUCAAUCAAAUUGAACAAAACUUUCAACAACGGAUCUCUUGGUUCUGGCAUCGAUGAAGAACGCAGC
rnacentral:misc_RNA from 1 species